GUGGAUUAGAUACCCUGGUAGUCCACACCGUAAACGUUGGGCGCUAGGUGUGGGGCCUAUUCCAUGGGUUCCGUGCCGCAGCUAACGCAUUAAGCGCCCCGCCUGGGGAGUACGGCCGCAAGGCUAAAACUCAAAGGAAUUGACGGGGGCCCGCACAAGCGGCGGAGCAUGCGGAUUAAUUCGAUGCAACGCGAAGAACCUUACCUGGGUUUGACAUACGCCGGAAAGCGCCAGAGAUGGUGCCCCUUUUAGUCGGUGUACAGGUGGUGCACGGUCGUCGACAGCU
rnacentral:rRNA from 1 species